GUCGGCCAGCGAUCGACUGGGAAGGAGCGUGUUCUCCGAGUCGAAGGAGGAUCGAAUUUGACUCGAAGAAAGAGGGAGAGAGAGAGAGAGAGAGGAAUGAACAGUACAAGCAAACGAGGAAGAGAGAACUACGGAGGAAGGAUGGACGACAUGCUGGAAAGAGAGAAAGAUUUACCGCCGUGCAGAGAGGAGAAAGGAGCACGAGGAGAGAGAUUGGGUUAACGGGGAGAUGAGGGUGUAAGUCUGAGCGCACCAGGACGAAGAGGGACAACCUAGGUAGAAGGAAUAAUGGGACUGCGAGAUGAAAAAAAAAAAGCGAUCGGAAGGAAAAGUCGACGACGAAUGUCGUCGGACGAGCGAAAUAUCGAGAAGAGAAGAAUCAACGGGCGAUAUAAAAAGAUUGUGAAAGUUCGAAGCGAGAGAGAAAAAGAUGCGUGACGAGAAGGAUGACCGGCAAGAGAAGAACUGAUGGGAGAGAGAGAAGAUCACGAAGAGAAAGAUGCUAUUGACGAUUCGAAGUAUCAGAGUAGGAGAAGACUGGAGAACAUAUAUAUUAAGGAUGAUGUAAUUGUCUGAGAAGAAACUCAAUGUACAAAACAAUCCUUUUCACGCAGUCAUCAUUUUUUAUCGGCUGUAUCACAAUAAAGCAGCAUCGAGAACAUCGAAAAACGAUUACAUCGAGAUACGCCGGGCGAACAAAUACUAAAAUAAAGGUAAACAUUUGCGGGAGUAAACCGCAGAAGUACCGUGUUCAAAACGUCAAGGGACCAUGUACAGCGGAGGCGAACGGUGUUCGAAGACACCGCAAAGAACAAGCUUGGGAACAAGAAGAGGGCUAGAGCAAGAGCGCGCACCCGACGGAUUGUCAGCAUCUUUCGACAGUCUACCGACAUUCGCUACGGAUGAACCUGCCUGUGAUUGCGGCCAAUUAAAAAAAAGAAAAAGAUCGACCGAUUACUGCCGAGAGAAGCGAAUAAAGCGAAGGACACCGAAGAGCGGGAUCGGGAAACCACGCGUGAGCGAAAAACCGGUAUAAGUGAGAAAGAGAGAGAAAAGAAGAAAGAUAUCCCCGACGCUUCGCCACGGUAGAAUGGAUCUACCGGGUGGUGGAAGGAGACACACGCCGAUGAGAGAUCCAAGGCAGAUUCGAAUGGAACCGAGGCGAACGGACCGACGAACGAACGACCGGUAGAAGAGGAAGGACAGGUAUGAGACGUAAGUCCGCGAAAAGCGACGAGGAGAGGGAGAGGGACAGGGAGCUUCGGGUCCUCUCUCAUUCUCCCUCUCUCUCUCUCAUUGUUCUCAGUACGACGGUUUGGCUCGCUGACGUCACAACGACGAUUUGAACAGGCCAAUCGGCGCUCGCAGUCAUCUCAUCCGUCGGUUACUCGCUGGUUGGAUCGCAGAGCAACCAGGUAGAGAAAACAGGAUGAUGGUAGGUAGGAGGGAGGUAGAGGAAAAGGUAGUGGGGCCGCGGGACCGGUGCGUACGGCCCAGACCUAUUCAGUUGAUCAGUGAGUGCGGUAGUUGUCUCAUCUCGUACCGCGCCAGGUGUAACUUUCCUCUCUUUCUCUCUCGGUCUCUGUGUGUCCUUGAUACGACGGAGACAGUGAUGGAGUUAAAUCUCACGGAACGUGCUCCGAUCCGGAGCCAAUGCCACAGAUAAUAGACGCGAUGGCCGCGUAUUACAUGUCGAUGUGCGAUCGGAUCUUGCAACCUGGAAAGCGAAGACCUAACUUCCAACCUGGGAAUAGAGAAACUCAUGGCUUCACAAUUUAUAUUUGUAUUCCUUUUCCAUGCUCAAAAAUUAUAGGAAAAAAAAUAAUUUGCCAAGUAUUCGUUACAACAAAUCUUUUGCAAUGGAAGGAAUGCAAUGCAAAGAAAUUUAGCGCAAUAUUUUCAUUUUGAACAUAUAUUAACAACAGUCAGACUUAUUUUAAUAUUUCUCUUAUCGGCGAUUCGCGAAAUCGCAAUUGAGAAAAAAUCUUCUAUGUUCAUCUUAUAUGUUCAAAAAGGUCUUGGCGCGGACAUUUUCUUUGGUUAUCUAGCUGUAUGAGUUUUAUUCUACAUCAUAAAGCUAGGUUACCGGAGUUAAGCUCCUCGCCAUAUCAACUCCAGCAAUCUUCCCCUUAUGCGUUUCUACGCUUCAGCGAAAAUAAAGCACCGAGACGCCGAAACUGUUACACCUGAGGCAUCCUCGACAUCAUCGCGGCAUCGACUUAUCGGGUAAUAAAAGCAGUGUUAAAAAAAAAUUUAAUUUACAGUUUAUAAUUUUAGAUAUUAAUGAUUGAAUUUUUACAUCUCUUUUUAGUAGUAUUAUAAUUUAAUGUAGGCGAUAGACAUUUAACGAUUUACAUAUGUAAUCUCAUUCAUAUAUUUUUAUUAGAUGUAUGAUAAGUACUACAAGAAAAUACCAGACGAAUACUAGAUGAAUUCGAAUAUCAAGAUAAUAAUAAUUGUUAUGCGAAGACGCAUGCGUCCCGCUACUUCCGAUUGUCACAUCGAAUAAAAAUAACGAACCCCGCAAAAUCAUUCCUCUCUCCCACGUUUCCGAACAGAAAGGACCUAUGCUAUUGUGUCGAAUAAUUUUCAGCUGUUAGGUCCUCACAAUGGGUCGAGUGUUCGGUACGAAGAACCAUGCAAACACAGAUCCAUAAAGAAGUAUAAGCCACGCACUCGCCGAUCCCGCAACCGCAACCGUACAGAACAGGCAAAUGCGAAAGUGUCGCCUAAGUUGUAUAGCUGUGUGUACGGCUCUCUGUAUUCCCCUUGCGCGUGAAACUACGAGUUGGGCAUUUGUAAUUGUCGUUAGUGUCGAUGACUCGUGAUCGGCUUGUCGAAAGGGACUUUACAAAGUCGCGCGUAUCGAUGUUCCCUCGCACAUGUUUAUGUUGCACCUACAUCACGCGCGGGGGUAUCAUGAAAUAUUGCUGAGAAUAAUGUCCGCUAUUUUGAUAAUCACUUUGGAGAAAGUUACGUUAUUAUAUCGCACCGGAAUCAAAGAGAGAGAGAGAGAGAACGUAAAUGCGGGACUCGACCCAAUUCGACGAAGCUUAUACAAUGAACGAUCGGCUAUAUUUUUCUUUAUUUUUACUCCGUAAAUUGAAUUAACUUCUGGAAGAAGCUCGAGUCACAAAUUUUAUUUUCGAAAUAAUAUUUCAUCAAUUUAAAAGUCGCGUUUUCUCUCUCAUUAUAUAUCAUUGUCGAUAUAGUUCUUAUUGUUGCAGACAUACACGUGCGAUCUUUGGGCAGAUUUCUUAUGACGAUCCGAUUGAUAAUUUAUUUUAACGCUGCUUUCGAUAGAAGCGCAAAAAUUUGUACACAUCGUGAGUUUAAAGCGUUAACGUAUCGAAAGAACGGCUCGCGAGAACGGAACAAGUUGUUUCAUUAAACACACGCUGUGCCUAUGAAACGUUACAUUUUAAGUGUGUGCCGACACGGUGCGUGACGACAAUGGUUCCCACAAUAAAGAAGCCAGGAUAUGUUUACCAAUUAUACAUAUAUGUAUAUGCGACCACAGGAACGAACACGUCCGGCGUGAUAUUGCAGGAAAAAUUCUUGGCUUUGUUUAAAUUGCAAAAUGUAAAAGUUAGAACAAUGUCAAAUUUGAUUUAUGAAAUAUUAAACAUUAAAGAGAAUAGAAGAAGAAUGUCAAUUAGAUUUAGCUUUUUCCUUAAUUUUCUCUAAAAUUUUUAUUUGUAAGUUUUCUUGGAAAUUUGGAACAAUCUUUGGCAUUUAAAAAUAAAUUUACAUUUAAACAGCUCUUACAAGAUGAACCAAUUGAUAUCUAAAGAGAAUGUGAUUGUGGGUGAUAAAAAGAUGGAAGAAGUAGAUUAAGCUUUGCUAUAAUAGAAUUUUUGUAAUAUUCAUAAUAUAUUAGAAAAAAGCUGUGUAAACAUAUAUGAUUGCAUUUGA